UCAAGCAUUGCCAAGAGCAAAUGGGCAGGUACUAUAAGAGCGUUGGCUCGGCUUCAGCCUGGAGUUUAGAAUGAGGCAACACCUCGCUGCUUUCCAACACAUCUCCUGUGUUGCACCAACCUAACCUGUGUUGCAAGUUGGCUUCAGAUCACAGGUAAAUCUGUAACAGACUGGACUCUGAUGACACCAAUGUGCGUGAGAAGGCUUCUGACUCUGGCCAACUCCAGCUCUUAAUUGGAAUCAAGAGAGUGAUUUUUUUUUUUUUUUUUGUUCUUUUUUUCGGAGCUGAGGACCGAACCCAGGACCUUGCGCUUCCUAGGUCAACAGUUGUCAAAGAAUCGACAAUAUCUCAGACUGAAAACCUAUUGGAAAGUCACAGCACAGACAGGCUUCAAGAGAGAGAUCACCUGACACGGAGCCAGUAUCUCCAGGAACUCAGAUUUCUCUGGGCAUUGGUGACAGCUGCGUCUUCAAUCUCGCUGCGCUCCAUCUCGGAGAGACCACGUGCCUUACGUUGCUGAGACAUCUGCAAUAGUUCCAGGCCUGCAUCAUUACACUUUAUCACCGAGGGGAAGAAAGGAAGCCUUUCUCACAGCAUCCACAGAAGAGGGAGGCAGAUUGUUUCCCUCAAACCUUGACAAGCCCCUCUUUCAUCUCAUGAGCUUUUAAUGGGUUCUUAAAAAAAGAAGCCAUUUAGUUCUACUCUGGUGAAGAUAUAGGAUACUCUUUUACCUCAAGCUAAUUCUAACUCACAUAGAGUAGGGGUGAGGUCUACCUCAUGUAUGCUAUGUAGUUGGGAAUGAGGCAGAAGUUCUUAUAUAAGUUAAUUUUGCUGUUAUUCACUAGCAAAGACACAUCCAUGUAUACUGCUAGCAUUGAGAUGAGUAGAAAGAGUGAACCUAACUUGUUGAGCCACUGAUGGAGGAAACCUGUGUUAUGGUUUGCAUAUGCUUGGCCCAGGGAGUGACGCUGUUAGAAGGUGUGGCCCUGUUGGAGUAGGUGUGUCACUGUGGGUGUGGGCUUUAAGGCCCACAUCCUAGCUGCCUGGAAGCCAGUAUUCCGCUAGCAGCCUUCUGAUAAAGAUGUAGAACUUCAGCCCCUCCUGCACCAUGCCUGCCUGAACGCUGCCAUACUUCCUGACUUGAUGAUAAUGGACUGAACCUCUGAUCCUGUAAGCCAGCCCCAAUUAAAUGUUGUUCUUUUAA